CGUCUUACUGUGAAGCGACAACGCUACUGCAGCACCACCUCCGCGGAUGGCCCCAUUCUUUGUGAUAAACUUUUUUAUUAUCUUGAGUAAAAUAGACUUUGCGCUGAUUGGCAAUAGUAUGAUGCCAUUGCCUUUUAAAAUGAGUGCAAGACAUCCUUCAGUCAGUGAUCGAAGGGAAUUUUUUGUUACUUUGAAAAGGCCAGUUCUGUUGUGUACAGGACUGAAGUCCUAACUGUUACCCAAACAACCCAGAAACAAUGAAUAAUCUCCGUGCUGAAGGACCUGGUUAAAGAUGUGAAGAGUGAGGGUCAGAAACUGACUUGCCCAACCUUGGGCAAAGACAAGAAAGAAGUAUGAAGCUGCCUAUCAUACACCCUGUCCUCAAAUUGCUGCGGCCUUGACAGCAUUAGAUGUGUCCCUUGCUCAUUUCAGAUAUGCUGCUGUUUUGAACAAAAUGCCAUUUUACCAUCAAAUCAGUAGAAGUGGACCAUCACUGCGUAUCAUUAGAUGGGGCUGUCAUAAGAAUUUGCCUACAAGCCAUGAUCCAAGCCAUAAGGUCAUGAGUGAAUCAAUAUCUCUGAAUGGUUUUUAAUGUACCCUUCAAAGACUGUGAUUGCUUUAAGGAAACCAGAAACAAAGCAUAUGUGGGGAGAACAUACACAUUCCACACUUAAAGUGCCUGAUGUUCAAGUCUGAACCAAAAAUGCUGGGGCGCCGUGGAAGACAUCAUAACCAAAGAAUACAUAGCCAUGACUUCAAGAGUAGGAGUUGAUUAUUCAGUUUCUGUGUGUAAAUGCCAUUCUGGGACUUAUUCUUAAACAUGUCUACAAUACUCGCUCUAUUACCUUUUCAUAAUUAAGCAUAAUAUCAUUGUUUGAUCUUUUUAUGUUGAAACAGAUGUAAAUCUGCUAACAGGUAUACAUUAAACAUCAGCAGCAGAGAGUUCCAUGGACUUAUAACAGACUAAG